GUAGGUGGCAAGCGUUGUCCGGAAUUAUUGGGCGCAAAGCGCGCGCAGGCGGUUCUUUAAGUCUGAUGUGAAAGCCCACGGCUCAACCGUGGAGGGUCAUUGGAAACUGGAGAACUUGAGUACAGAAGAGGAAAGCGGAAUUCCACGUGUAGCGGUGAAAUGCGUAGAGAUGUGGAGGAACACCAGUGGCGAAGGCGGCUUUCUGGUCUGUAACUGACGCUGAGGCGCGAAAGCGUGGGGGAGCAAACAGGAUUAGAUACCCUGGUAGUCCACGCCGUAAACGAUGAGUGCUAAGUGUUAGGGGGUUUCCGCCCCUUAGUGCUGCGGCUAACGCAUUAAGCACUCCGCCUGGGAGUACGGCCGCAAGGCUG
rnacentral:rRNA from 1 species